rnacentral:rRNA from 1 species
UACGUAGGGCGCAAGCGUUGUCCGGAAUUAUUGGGCGUAAAGAGCUCGUAGGCGGCUUGUCACGUCGGGUGUGAAAGCCCGGGGCUUAACCCCGGGUCUGCAUUCGAUACGGGCAGGCUAGAGUGUGGUAGGGGAGAUCGAAUUCCUGGUGUAGCGGUGAAAUGCGCAGAUAUCAGGAGGAACACCGGUGGCGAAGGCGGAUCUCUGGGCCAUUACUGACGCUGAGGCGCGAAAGCCAGGGGAGCAAACGGG